ensembl:lncRNA
CAGCAGGCCAGGCCUCCCUGUCCAUCACCGACUCCUGGAGUUCACUCAGACUCACGUCCAUCGAGUCAGUGAUACCAUCCAGCCAUCUCAUCCUCUGUCAUCCCCUUCUCCUCCUGCCCCCAAUCCCUCCCAGCAUCAGAGUCUUUUCCAAUGAGUCAACUCUUCGCAUGAGGUGGCCAAAGUACUGGAGUUUCAGCUUUAGCAUCAUUCCUUCCAAAGAACACCCAGGACUGAUCUCCUUUAGAAUGGACUGGUUGCUCACCACCAGUCAAAUGUCACCUUUUCUGUUCCCCUUGGACAAUUUCCCUUUCUGCCCCAGGCAGACUUCUUCCUUCCCAGGCCUGAGGGCACGUGGGACACCCCCUAAUGGCACUGAUCACAUUGCAAUGUUACCCUUGGGUCACAGGUUUCUGGACCUCUGGACUUUAGGUGUUUUUUUAAUUAAUCUUAUAGAGAAAUUUUUGGUUUGUCCAAAGAGACUCCAGACUUUUUAUUUUCUAAAUUGAAUUUUAAGGAGAAGUUUUAGGUUCCUACGAAAAGACUCCAGGCUUUCUUUUAAAACAGAGACUGUGUGAUUCAUCUGCCCCCAGCACCUAGCAUGGCCUCUGGCUCAUAGCCGGGGUUCAAAUGCAUGCUUGUUUGGUAAUAAGUGAGGCAAGACACACUGGGAAUGAUUUAAAAAAAUAACAAAGAGAUGUAUCUUUACACACAUCUUUGCUGUUGAAAAUGAAGUCCGUGAAAGUUUUCUGGGAAUUCAAAAGUAGUUCUUUUUCAUGGGCCCUCCUUGGUUGGUUUUCAAGUUUGCCCUGAAGCAUCUUCUGUCCAAAUAGCCUUUCGCUGGCAGCAGUUCUACCUUCAUCCAGAAGAUGGCGGGCGAGGCCAGCAAGCGAGCUUCGCAAUGCAGCCAGGCGCCAGGCCUAGGCAGGUGACCCUUUUUUAACAAAAGAUGCGGGCACCUGAAGCCUAUUUGCCAACCCCAUAAAUGCGCAUGGGCGACAAGAACUUCGGGAUAGGUUCUGGUGUUGAUCCCCGUGAAAAGGAGCCUUUUUGAAAGGGUGUUUCAGGGGGAGCAUGGCAGCAAGUGGUUAAAGGGCAGGUCCUCUAAAACUCUCCUUUGAAUGGGGAAAACACUGUGGAAAAUGAACUUCCUAUAAAGCAGGCACAGCCCUCAAAGUCUCCGUGACUCAGGACGACGUGCUUUUUUGCCUCUUGAAGCUUACUUGCUUUGGAAAUGGUUCCCGGCUCCCUGGCCACCUCCACAGCUGACCGGAAGCUUCUCUUGGGUCACAAUUCCUCCUCCUCACAGGUCUGCACACUCCCAACAGCACUUGUCACCAUCUGAAACUUAAAAGAAGCCUGUUCAUAUCCUGUCUCAUAAGAAUGUCAAUUCCAUGAGAAAAGAGACCUUUGAGAACAGUUUCUGAAAUUUAAACUACAGUGGAACUCUAGCAUCCCAGUAUCCAUGUCAUUUCGACCUGGGCUGUUCAUACGGCUGUUGAGCACUUUAUAUAGGGCUAAUGCAAACUGAGAUGUGUUGUGGCCCAGUGGUAAAGAAUCCACCUGCCAAUGCAAGAGAUGCAAGAGACAUGGGUUUGAACCUUAGAUUGGGAAGAUCCCCUGGAGCAGGAAAUGGUGAACUACGCCAGUAUUCUUGCCUGGAAAAUUCCAUGGACAGAGGAGCCUAGUGAACUACAGUUCAUGGGGUUGCAAAGAGUUGGACAUGGCUGAGUAACAGAGCGUACACACACACAUAUACACUUUUUCAGAUUCUUUUCCAUUAUAGGUUAUUACAAGACAUUGAGUACAGUUUGCUAUACAGUAGGUGUUUGUUGGUUAUCUUUUUUUAUACAUAGUAGUGUGUAUAUUUUAAUCCCAAACUCCUAAUGUAUCCCUCUCUCCCCCUCCCCUUUGGUAACUCUUAAGUUUGUUUUCUGUGUCUGUGAGUCUAUUUCUGUUUUGGAAAUAAAUUCAUUUGUACUUUUUAAAAAUUCCACAUAUAAGCAAAUCAUGUAUUUGUCUUUUUCUGUCUGACUUGCUUCACUUUAUAUGAUCAUCUCUAGGUCCUUCCAUAUUGCAGAAGAUGAUAUUAUUUCAUUCUUUUUUAUGGCUAAGUAAUAUUCCAUUUGUAUGUAUACCACAUUUUAUUUAUCCAUUCAUCGGUAGUUUAAACAAUUUUACUACAUGUUUAAAUAAUAAUAUUUUUGUAUAUUGGAUGAACUAAAACAUUAAAAUUAAUUUAACCUGUUUACAUUUUGUGUAAUGUGGUUAUUCGAAAAUUUAAAAUUAUGUGUGUGUCAUCUUAAAUUUCUGUUGGACAAAGGGCAGUUCACUUUGCAGUGAUGUGUUC